rnacentral:rRNA from 1 species
CUUUUACAAUGAAGAGUUUGAUCCUGGCUCAGGAUGAACGCUAGCUACAGGCUUAACACAUGCAAGUCGAGGGGCAUCAGGAAGAAAGCUUGCUUUCUUUGCUGGCGACCGGCGCACGGGUGAGUAACACGUAUCCAACCUGCCCUUUACUCGGGGAUAGCCUUUCGAAAGAAAGAUUAAUACCCGAUAGUAUAAUGAUUCCGCAUGGUUUGAUUAUUAAAGGAUUCCGGUAAAGGAUGGGGAUGCGUUCCAUUAGGUUGUUGGUGAGGUAACGGCUCACCAAGCCUUCGAUGGAUAGGGGUUCUGAGAGGAAGGUCCCCCACAUUGGAACUGAGACACGGUCCAAACUCCUACGGGAGGCAGCAGUGAGGAAUAUUGGUCAAUGGGCGCUAGCCUGAACCAGCCAAGUAGCGUGAAGGAUGAAGGCUCUAUGGGUCGUAAACUUCUUUUAUAUAAGAAUAAAGUGCAGUAUGUAUACUGUUUUGUAUGUAUUAUAUGAAUAAGGAUCGGCUAACUCCGUGCCAGCAGCCGCGGUAAUACGGAGGAUCCGAGCGUUAUCCGGAUUUAUUGGGUUUAAAGGGAGCGUAGGUGGACUGGUAAGUCAGUUGUGAAAGUUUGCGGCUCAACCGUAAAAUUGCAGUUGAUACUGUCAGUCUUGAGUACAGUAGAGGUGGGCGGAAUUCGUGGUGUAGCGGUGAAAUGCUUAGAUAUCACGAAGAACUCCGAUUGCGAAGGCAGCUCACUGGACUGCAACUGACACUGAUGCUCGAAAGUGUGGGUAUCAAACAGGAUUAGAUACCCUGGUAGUCCACACAGUAAACGAUGAAUACUCGCUGUUUGCGAUAUACAGUAAGCGGCCAAGCGAAAGCAUUAAGUAUUCCACCUGGGGAGUACGCCGGCAACGGUGAAACUCAAAGGAAUUGACGGGGGCCCGCACAAGCGGAGGAACAUGUGGUUUAAUUCGAUGAUACGCGAGGAACCUUACCCGGGCUUAAAUUGCAGUGGAAUGAUGUGGAAACAUGUCAGUGAGCAAUCACCGCUGUGAAGGUGCUGCAUGGUUGUCGUCAGCUCGUGCCGUGAGGUGUCGGCUUAAGUGCCAUAACGAGCGCAACCCUUAUCUUUAGUUACUAACAGGUUAUGCUGAGGACUCUAGAGAGACUGCCGUCGUAAGAUGUGAGGAAGGUGGGGAUGACGUCAAAUCAGCACGGCCCUUACGUCCGGGGCUACACACGUGUUACAAUGGGGGGUACAGAAGGCAGCUAGCGGGUGACCGUAUGCUAAUCCCAAAAUCCUCUCUCAGUUCGGAUCGAAGUCUGCAACCCGACUUCGUGAAGCUGGAUUCGCUAGUAAUCGCGCAUCAGCCACGGCGCGGUGAAUACGUUCCCGGGCCUUGUACACACCGCCCGUCAAGCCAUGGGAGCCGGGGGUACCUGAAGUACGUAACCGCAAGGAUCGUCCUAGGGUAAAACUGGUGACUGGGGCUAAGUCGUAACAAGGUAGCCGUACCGGAAGGUGCGGCUGGAACACCUCCUUUCU